UGCAAGUCGAACGAUGAACCACUUCGGUGGGGAUUAGUGGCGAACGGGUGAGUAACACGUGGGCAAUCUGCCCUGCACUCUGGGACAAGCCCUGGAAACGGGGUCUAAUACCGGAUAACAGCCUCCAUCGCAUGGUGGGGGUUUGAAAGCUCCGGCGGUGCAGGAUGAGCCCGCGGCCUAUCAGCUUGUUGGUGAGGUAGUGGCUCACCAAGGCGACGACGGGUAGCCGGCCUGAGAGGGCGACCGGCCACACUGGGACUGAGACACGGCCCAGACUCCUACGGGAGGCAGCAGUGGGGAAUAUUGCACAAUGGGCGAAAGCCUGAUGCAGCGACGCCGCGUGAGGGAUGACGGCCUUCGGGUUGUAAACCUCUUUCAGCAGGGAAGAAGCGAAAGUGACGGUACCUGCAGAAGAAGCGCCGGCUAACUACGUGCCAGCAGCCGCGGUAAUACGUAGGGCGCAAGCGUUGUCCGGAAUUAUUGGGCGUAAAGAGCUCGUAGGCGGCUUGUCGCGUCGGUUGUGAAAGCCCGGGGCUUAACCCCGGGUCUGCAGUCGAUACGGGCAGGCUAGAGUUCGGUAGGGGAGAUCGGAAUUCCUGGUGUAGCGGUGAAAUGCGCAGAUAUCAGGAGGAACACCGGUGGCGAAGGCGGAUCUCUGGGCCGAUACUGACGCUGAGGAGCGA
rnacentral:rRNA from 1 species